rnacentral:rRNA from 1 species
AAUAGAUACCCGGGUAGUCCACGCCGUAAACGAUGAGUGCUAAGUGUUAGAGGGUUUCCGCCCUUUAGUGCUGCAGCUAACGCAUUAAGCACUCCGCCUGGGGAGUACGGCCGCAAGGCUGAAACUCAAAGGAAUUGACGGGGGCCCGCACAAGCGGUGGAGCAUGUGGUUUAAUUCGAAGCAACGCGAAGAACCUUACCAGGUCUUGACAUCCUCUGCCAACCCUAGAGAUAGGGCGUUCCCCUUCGGGGGACAGAGUGACAGGUGGUGCAUGGUUGUCGUCAGCUCGUGUCGUGAGAUGUUGGGUUAAGUCCCGCAACGAGCGCAACCCUUGAUCUUAGUUGCCAGCAUUUAGUUGGGCACUCUAAGGUGACUGCCGGUGACAAACCGGAGGAAGGUGGGGAUGACGUCAAAUCAUCAUGCCCCUUAUGACCUGGACUACACACGUGCUACAAUGGAUGGUACAAAGAGCUGCGAACCCGCGAGGGUAAGCCAAUCUCAUAAAGCCAUUCUCAGUUCGGA